rnacentral:rRNA from 1 species
GUGUCAGCAGCCGCGGUAAUACGAAGGGACCUAGCGUAGUUCGGAAUUACUGGGCUUAAAGAGUUCGUAGGUGGUUAAAAAAGUUGGUGGUGAAAUCCCAGAGCUUAACUCUGGAACUGCCAUCAAAACUUUUUAGCUAGAGUAUGGUAGAGGAAAGCAGAAUUUCUAGUGUAGAGGUGAAAUUCGUAGAUAUUAGAAAGAAUACCAAUUGCGAAGGCAGCUUUCUGGAUCAUUACUGACACUGAGGAACGAAAGCAUGGGUAGCGAAGAGGAUUAGAUACCCUCGUAGUCCAUGCCGUAAACGAUGUGUGUUAGAUGUUGGAAAUUUAUUUUCAGUAUCGCAGCGAAAGCAAUAAACACACCGCCUGGGGAGUACGACCGCAAGGUUAAAACUCAAAUGAAUUGACGGGGACCCGCACAAGUAGUGGAGCAUGUGGUUUAAUUCGAAGAUACGCGCAGAACCUUACCAACACUUGACAUGUUCGUUUCGACUCUAAGAGAUUAGAGUUUUCGGUUCGGCCGGACGAAACACAGGUGCUGCAUGGCUGUCGUCAGCUCGUGUCGUGAGAUGUUGGGUUAAGUCCCGCAACGAGCGCAACCCUUACUUUUAGUUGCCAUCAUUUAGUUGGGCACUCUGAAAGAACUGCCAGUGAUAAGCUGGAGGAAGGUGGGGAUGACGUCAAGUCCUCAUGGCCCUUAUGUGUUGGGCUACACACGUGCUACAAUGGCAUUUACAAUAGGAAGCAAGAUGGCGACAUUAAGCAAAUCCUAAAAAAAUGCCCUAGUUCGGAUUGUACUCUGCAACUCGAGUACAUGAAGCUGGAAUUACUAGUAAUCGUGGAUCAGCGUGCCACGGUGAAUACGUUCCCGGGUCUUGCACACACUGCCCGUC